rnacentral:rRNA from 1 species
AAGUCGAACGGGAUGCUUAGGCAUCUAGUGGCGGACGGGUGAGUAACGCGUGAGAAUCUGGCUCCAGGUCGGGGAUAACAGUUGGAAACGACUGCUAAUACCGGAUGUGCCGAGAGGUGAAAGAUUUAUUGCCUGGAGAUGAGCUCGCGUCUGAUUAGCUAGUUGGUGGUGUAAGGGACCACCAAGGCGUCGAUCAGUAGCUGGUCUGAGAGGAUGAUCAGCCACACUGGGACUGAGACACGGCCCAGACUCCUACGGGAGGCAGCAGUGGGGAAUUUUCCGCAAUGGGCGAAAGCCUGACGGAGCAAUACCGCGUGAGGGAGGAAGGCUCUUGGGUCGUAAACCUCUUUUCUCAAGGAAGAAGAAAGUGACGGUACUUGAGGAAUAAGCAUCGGCUAACUCCGUGCCAGCAGCCGCGGUAAUACGGAGGAUGCAAGCGUUAUCCGGAAUGAUUGGGCGUAAAGGGUCUGCAGGUGGAACUGAAAGUCUGCUGUUAAAGAGUUUGGCUUAACCAAAUAAAAGCGGUGGAAACUACAGAACUAGAGUGCGGUAGGGGCAAAAGGAAUUCCUGGUGUAGCGGUGAAAUGCGUAGAUAUCAGGAAGAACACCGGUGGCGAAAGCGUUUUGCUAGACCGUAACUGACACUGAGGGACGAAAGCUAGGGGAGCGAAUGGGAUUAGAUACCCCAGUAGUCCUAGCCGUAAACGAUGGAUACUAGGCGUGGCUUGUAUCGACCCGAGCCGUGCCGGAGCUAACGCGUUAAGUAUCCCGCCUGGGGAGUACGCACGCAAGUGUGAAACUCAAAGGAAUUGACGGGGGCCCGCACAAGCGGUGGAGUAUGUGGUUUAAUUCGAUGCAACGCGAAGAACCUUACCAAGACUUGACAUCCUGCGAAUCCUGGUGAAAGCUGGGAGUGCCUUAGGGAGCGCAGAGACAGGUGGUGCAUGGCUGUCGUCAGCUCGUGUCGUGAGAUGUUGGGUUAAGUCCCGCAACGAGCGCAACCCUCGUUUUUAGUUGCCAGCAUUAAGUUGGGCACUCUAGAGAGACUGCCGGUGACAAACCGGAGGAAGGUGAGGAUGACGUCAAGUCAGCAUGCCCCUUACGUCUUGGGCUACACACGUACUACAAUGCUACGGACAGAGGGCAGCGAGCCAGGGAUGGCAAGCGAAUCCAGAAACCGUAGCUCAGUUCAGAUCGAAGGCUGCAACUCGCCUUCGUGAAGGAGGAAUCGCUAGUAAUUGCAGGUCAGCAUACUGCAGUGAAUUCGUUCCCGGGCCUUGUACACACCGCCCGUCACACCAUGGAAGUUGGUCACGCCCGAAGUCAUUACCCCAACCGAAAGGAGGGGG